rnacentral:rRNA from 1 species
CAGUAGCCGCGGGAAUACAGAGGGUGCAAGCGUUAAUCGGAAUUACUGGGCGUAAAGCGCGCGUAGGUGGUUUGUUAAGUUGGAUGUGAAAGCCCCGGGCUCAACCUGGGAACUGCAUCCAAAACUGGCAAGCUAGAGUACGGUAUAGGGUGGUGGAAUUUCCUGUGUAGCGGUGAAAUGCGUAGAUAUAGGAAGGAACACCAGUGGCGAAGGCGACCACCUGGACUGAUACUGACACUGAGGUGCGAAAGCGUGGGGAGCAAACAGGAUUAGAUACCCCAGUAGUCCCUGUCUCUUAUAA